rnacentral:rRNA from 1 species
UACGUAGGUGGCAAGCGUUAUCUGGAUUUACUGGGUGUAAAGGGAGCGUAGGCGGCUCUGCAAGUCAGAUGUGAAAAUCCGGGGCUCAACCCCGGGACUGCAUUUGAAACUGCGGAGCUUGAGUGCAGGAGAGGCAGGCGGAAUUCCUAGUGUAGCGGUGAAAUGCGUAGAUAUUAGGAAGAACACCGGUGGCGAAGGCGGCCUGCUGGACUGAGACUGACGCUGAGGCUCGAAAGCGUGGGGAGCAAAC